rnacentral:rRNA from 1 species
UACGGGGGGGGCAAGCGUUGUCCGGAAUUACUGGGCGUAAAGGGCUCGUAGGCGGCCAACUAAGUCGGACGUGAAAUCCCUCGGCUUAACCGGGGAACUGCGUCCGAUACUGGAUGGCUUGAGUUUGGGAGAGGGAUGCGGAAUUCCAGGUGUAGCGGUGAAAUGCGUAGAUAUCUGGAGGAACACCGGUGGCGAAGGCGGCAUCCUGGACCAACACUGACGCUGAGGAGCGAAAGCCAGGGGAGCAAACGGG